rnacentral:rRNA from 1 species
UAGGGUGGUUUUAGCGGAGGGGCUCACCCGUUCCCAUUCCGAACACGGAAGUUAAGCCCUCCAGCGCCGAUGGUACUGC